ACACAUGCAAGUCGAGGGGCAGCAUGGUCUUAGCUUGCUAAGGCCGAUGGCGACCGGCGCACGGGUGAGUAACGCGUAUCCAACCUGCCUUACACUCUUGGACAGCCUUCUGAAAGGGAGAUUAAUACAAGAUGUUAUCAUGAGUAAGCAUUUUCGCAUGAUUAAAGGUUUACCGGUGUAAGAUGGGGAUGCGUUCCAUUAGAUAGUAGGCGGGGUAACGGCCCACCUAGUCUUCGAUGGAUAGGGGUUCUGAGAGGAAGGUCCCCCACAUUGGAACUGAGACACGGUCCAAACUCCUACGGGAGGCAGCAGUGAGGAAUAUUGGUCAAUGGACGAGAGUCUGAACCAGCCAAGUAGCGUGAAGGAUGAAGGUUCUAUGGAUUGUAAACUUCUUUUAUACGGGAAUAAACGGAUCCACGUGUGGAUUUUUGCAUGUACCGUAUGAAUAAGGAUCGGCUAACUCCGUGCCAGCAGCCGCGGUAAUACGGAGGAUCCGAGCGUUAUCCGGAUUUAUUGGGUUUAAAGGGAGCGUAGAUGGGUUGUUAAGUCAGUUGUGAAAGUUUGCGGCUCAACCGUAAAAUUGCAAUUGAUACUGGCAGUCUUGAGUACAGUUGAGGUAGGCGGAAUUCGUGGUGUAGCGGUGAAAUGCUUAGAUAUCACGAAGAACUCCGAUUGCGAAGGCAGCUUACUAACCUGUAACUGACAUUGAUGCUCGAAAGUGUGGGUAUCAAACAGGAUUAGAUACCCUGGUAGUCCACACGGUAAACGAUGAAUACUCGCUGUAGGCAAUAUACAGUCUGCGGCCAAGCGAAAGCAUUAAGUAUUCCACCUGGGGAGUACGCCGGCAACGGUGAAACUCAAAGGAAUUGACGGGGGCCCGCACAAGCGGAGGAACAUG
rnacentral:rRNA from 1 species